rnacentral:rRNA from 1 species
AAUAUGGCACAAUGGGGGCAACCCUGAUCCAGCCAUGCCGCGUGUGUGAAGAAGGUCUUCGGAUUGUACAGCACUUUAAGUUGGGAGUCAGGGCUUUAGGUUAGUCCCCUGACGUUUUGUCCUUACCAACUGGACAACCACUGGCUAACUCUGUGCCAGCAGCCGCGGUAAUACAGAGGGUGCAAGCGUUAAUCGGAAUUACUGGGCGUAAAGCGGGAGUAGGUGGUUCAGUAAGAUGGGUGUGAAAUCCCCGGGCUUAACCUGGGAACUGCUUUCAUAACUGCUGAGCUAGAGUACGGUAGAGGGUAGUGGAAUUUCCUGUGUAGCGGUGAAAUGCGUAGAUAUAGGAAGGAACACCAGUGGCGAAGGCGACUACCUGGACUGAUACUGACACUGAGGUGCGAAAGCGUGGGGAGCAAAC